rnacentral:lncRNA from 1 species
CACAUAUAGCUCGUGUACCCACUCGCCACCUUGCAUACACGGCUUUCACGUAUCACAAAUAACAUUAAAUAACUCCAACCACAGGGGGUAAUUCCCCCACACGAAGUUAGCCAAGACCUGGUCCUACGUGAACGUGAUGGUUACUAGACCUGUCCCUACGCGAACGUGAUCUCACCUACAUGAUUGCUUAGGCAUGACGCCCGAGGCCCCCAGCUAACCUCUACUAUAUGCAAACGCAUAGGUGCUCUUGCGUCUGUGAAGAACUGAGUCCCAAAAGCUACGCGUACUCACUCCAAUAAUUGCAAACGUGAUGUACGAAAUGUCACCAUCCCUAAAUGACCUUUCACCGCUAACCUUUCCUCACGAUCGUGUAUAAGGAAUCCAAAACUAGAUUCAUCAGCAGUCCUUCAAGUCCAGAAAUGACUCGAACAUGAUCUAAAUCACACCAUUGGCCCCCGGGACCUGAUUCAAACAUAUUAACAAGUCAUCGAACAUGAUAAAAACUUUAUCAGAGAAUCAAAUUACAUAAAACAAUACCAAAAUCAUGAAUCGUACCCCAAUUCAAGCCUAAUGAACUUAUGAACUUCUAACUUCUAAACCUAAUGUUGAAUCAUACCAAACCUACUCCGAUCGACCUAAAAUUUUGCACACAAAUCAUAAAUGACACAAAAAAUCUAUUCAAAAUUCAGGAAUCAAAAUUUGAACCUGAUUUGAGAAAUGCACUCUCGGGUCAAACUUCUUAAUCUUCCAAACCUUCAGCUUUCUAAUUUUCGCCAAUUCUAGCCAAUACGACCUAUGAGCUUCUAAAUCAAUAUUUGGACAUAUUCCUACAUAUAAAAUCAUGAUACGAAGCUAUACGAACGAUCAAAACACCAUUUUUAAGUUGUUUAUAUAAAUGUCAAACUCCGAUCAACUUUUUUAACUUAAGCUUCUAGCUUUAGGACUAAGUAUUCCUAUUCACUCUGAACCUCACCCAAUACUAUACCAACCACCGCAGAAAGUCACAUAACCAUAAUAUAACAUAGAUGAUGCAAUAAAUAGGUUUAACGAGGCUAAAAUACUCAAAAUAAUUGGCUGGUCGUUACGUGUGUACAAUAGAAUUUACACCACAUACUAUGAUCUCUCUAACUGGUGUCCGAUCAAAUUGGUUUUGAAAAUCGUGAUUCCUUUAUGUUCCAUACGGCAGAAACUAACUCCACCAAGAUAAUAUUGAAAUUAUAACCAGUCCUUCUAUCCAGUCCAGGUCAUUGCAACAACUGAUAAACUCUAUGACCAUGUCUCGUCCGUGAAUCCAUCCUUUUGUAUGACAUAUAUGAUUGAAAAUGACUCCUAGAUGGACUCCAAUAUGCAAUGAGGCCAUUAUAAGAAUAUGCAAGUAUUUCAGAAGAAUCAAUUGAGUGCUAAGCAAGAAUUAAAGCCCAUUUCAUUGGGUUUUCACCAAAUUUCUUUAUCAAGACUGAUUCGAUCUUAGGUGGAGCCAAAUUAUUUCCCUUCACAACUGUGUAGUAAGUUACAACAUGUUCUUGUGGAUCCAAUGUUCUGUAGUAUUUUGGAAACAGCAUCUUGGAUAUCCUUGGAAUCAACUCCGAAGCCCCAUGAUUUUGAUCCAUCCAAGUGUAAAAUUUCUUAGCAUUAUGAUCCAUUUCAGCAUUUAUUUCUCUCAUGCACCUCAUGAGUUCAAUCAUGAAAGUAUCAUCUGUGUUAUUUUUGUUUCGAUGUCCACUACCCACACCACCUACCCGGUUGUUGUUCGCUCUAAACUCCCCGUGAAAGCGAUGUUACCAGUUCUUGGUAGCAUGUGAUAUAUAGGAAUCCCAUGAGAGUCUUGAAAUCCACCAUUUAAAUAAAUUCAAGCCACUGAUAACACUUGUUGAAGCUCAGUCAUUAUUCGAUUCUAUCUUGAGUGAUUGUUCAUAAUUUUCCAUUGUUAUGUUCUCAAACAUUUUACGGUAUCGGCCACAUUCCUAUCAUCUAAAUAAUCAAGACUAGGACUCCCCGUACGUUGAGUAUUUAUUUCCACCCAAAUCGGAGUUGAUUCAUUCCCAUCAAUAUGGGUUUCACUAGUUGAAUCGUCAUCUUGAGUUCCAUCAUGUAAAUUGUCAACAUGCUCGUUGUUUUUGUUCCCUAAAAUAUUAAGCAAGUUGGUAUAUCAUUAUAUGUCAUAUCUGUCAUAUGUUUUGAACAAAAAAAAUCUUAAAGCACGAUAGUAUAGGAUGGACGAAUCAAAAUAACAACACAAUGGUCUAUGCGCCAUGGUGGGUGUCAAGUUAUUUACUCAUAAAAAACUGUUUAUAGACACAUGGAUAAAUUGAUAUAAAUAGUAAAAUAAUAAAUAAUAAAAUAAAUGUAAUUAAAGAAAAAAUAAUCCUAAAUUUCAAACUGAUCCCUUUGAAACCAAGAGUAAUAGGGAAAUAUCAAUAACAAUCUUAUAAAGCAAAAGUGAAUGAGAGAAAGGAUAAUACCUUUUGUAAUUCUAGUAUUUUAUGUCCUUACCAGAGUUCCAUGUUUCUAUUUAUAAUAUAAUCAAAGGAGACAAAAUUCAAAAAUUAUGCCUUCUUAAAAAUAAAUAAUAAUCCCUCUUAGAGAUUGCAUAACAUUGGGAGUCGGUGACUUUCUGUAAUCGUCACUCCCUUUUAUGUUAUUGAUUUCAAUUGGUACCUUAUUUUCAAAUUCUCUUUUAUGAUAUUUAUAUCCUCAUAAUCUACUCAAUACCCGUCACAAGAUUGUAUCCGGUUGUAACGACCUGAUCAUUCAUUUUGAGAAUUAGCGUCUCGUUUGAUGGCUUAAGGUCUCGACAAUUUCGUAUUAUAUAUUAUGACUUGUGUGUGUGGCUCGAUUCUAUUUUUGGAUGAUUUUGGAUUUAUUUGGAAGAACAAUUCUUGUUUAGAAGCUUAAAUAAAAAGUAUAGACCGGACUUUGACCUUUUGAAAAUUACUCUCGAAUGGUAUUUUGAUGAUCCCAAUAGCUUCGUUGGUGAUCUUAGAUUAGGUAUGUGUCCUUAUUUAGAUUUGGAGGUCCGUAGGUUAGUUUGAUGAAUUUUUGGCGAAAGUUGGAAAGUUGAAGGUUUGGAAGGUUGAGAGGUUUGACCAGGAGUCAACUUUAUUGAUAUCGGGCUCGGAUUGCAAUUUUGAGAGUUGGAUUAGCUUCGUUAUAUCAUUUGGGACUUGCACGUAAAAUUUGAGGUUAUUCCGGGUUGAUUUGAUAUGAUUCGACGCGAGCUGUAGAAAUUGAAAGUUUAUAAAGUUCGAUCAGGGGUGCGAUUAAUAGUUUUGAUGUUGUUUGAUAUGAUUUGAGGCCUCAAUCAAGUUUGAGUUAUGGUAUGGAACUUGUUGGUAUGGUCGAGCAGGUCCCUAGGCCCCGUUGUGUUUCAGAUGAGCUGAGGAUCAUUUUACAAACUUGUCGCAUUGCUGAAGGGUCUGGUUACUGAUACCAUUGCACAUUUAGAUAAAUGGGCCGUAGAAAGUGCUAAGAAGGCACAUGUGAGGGAUUUGUGAGUGAAGGUAGGAGCCAUAAAAGCUGAUGUUUGGGCGCAUCUAUUCAACCAAAGAAGUGGAACACUGAACAUAGAAGCGCAUUCCCUGUUGUAGAAGCGAGUUUGGCUAAGGUGAGGCAUCUCAACAGAAGCGGAUUAUUUGUCGCAGAAGCUAUGUUUUUACCGCAAAAGCAGUAUCUCUGGUAGAAAAGUCAAUAAUUCUAGCUUUUGGUUAUUUUUAAUAUAUCUUGAGUUGUAGACCUCGGAUUUUAGCGAUUGUUGAGGGGUUCUUCAUGUGUUAGGUUGAGGUAAGUGUUCUUUACAUGGAUUUGAUUUUAUCUCGUGAUUCUGUCUUUGUUUUAACAUUAAAUAGUGAUUUGAGUGGGUGAAGAAUGGGAAUUUUUGUGAAAACUUUCAAAAAUGUAAAAUGAUUAUUUGAUGUCGGAAUUGGAUAAUUUUAUAUGGUUGGACUCGUAUCGGAACGGGUAUUCAGAUUUUGUGAAUUUUUGCCUAGUUCCGAGGGGCGGGCCCGGGCUUGACUUUUUGGUUGAUUAUUUAGUUUUUAUUAAAGAUCAAGAUUUAUUAUCCGGAAUUAUUUUCUAUGAUUUUUAUUUAUGAUAUUAAACUAUUUUGUCUAGAUUUGAGCCGUCCGAAGAUUGUUUUACUCGUGGAGGUCAUUUUAGAGUGUCGGUUUAGCUUCUUGAGGUAAGUAUCUUGUCUAAUUUGUGUGGGGGAACUACCCCUUAGGAUUUGAGUCGCUUAUGUUAUUUGUGUCCGUGAGGUAAUGAGUACAUACUCGGCCUGAUAUGUGGAAAUUUGCCGGUCUAGACUUUUAGGCAUCUUUUACCUACUUAUUUGGAAUUGUUAACACAUGUUAUAUCUUUUAUUUGUUAAGUCCACUAUCACAUGAUUUAUUUUAAGUUGUCGCUACAUUUCACAUUCUUUUCUUUUUGAGUGUGCUCAUAUAUGCUUUAUUUGGAGUUGUUAUUGCUUUUAUCAUUAUGUGAUUUCUUUUAUUGCAGAGUUACUCUUAGUUGAAAAUGUCGUCACAUGAUAUCUUUUUGUUGUCAGGUUGUUCUCGUGCAUUUAGAGGUAGUACAAGUUUGUGUCAUCUCCUUUAUUUUUAGACUGAUUCAUAUACUAGAUUCAGAAGUUUGCCCUUUCAUGGAAGUACUUUCGCUAUUAAAGUUAUCCAUAGACAAUUAAUUGGAAUUGAAGUUAUUGAGAGUUAUUAAUCUAUUUUAAUUGAAGUUGUGCUUAAGGGGGCGUUGUACCUUGUUGAUUUAAUUUUGCAUUCAUUUUGUUUUUAUUGAGAUUUUAUGUACGCUGUGUUGAGUCAUGGACUAUUUAUUGUGAAAAUUUUGAUACAAUUAAAUCUUUAGAAAGGUUGUGGCCUACGGGAACUUGCGAUACAAUUGAUAUGUUGUGUUAUUGUGAUGAUAGCACAUGUGAAUUUGUGUGGUUUAUUUAUUUUUAUGCGGAGUAUAAGUGUGGAAUUUCACCGUUAUUAUUAUGUGGAGUAUAAGGGUGGCAUUUCACUGUUGUUGUUAUACGGAGCGUAUGGGUGGCAUCUCGCUUUUGUUGAAUGUACGGAAUGACAGGAUGGUUGUUGUGCUAUUGUUCGAGCGGAGCGAUAAGGGUGGCUAUUAUACAGAGUGAUACGGAUGACUAUAUAAGAGAUAAUGGUGGCUAAUGAUAAAGUCAGGGCAGUGUGAUCGGGGUGGCUAUCAGAGAGGUAAAGAUGGCAAUAUCAUGAAUGAUGUGUGAUGGUUCCGAGACAUUGUGUUAGUAAUUUUCAUGUGAUGGUGUGCCUUUCCUUGUGUUUGUCAUACACCUUACAAGACUUUCUUGGUUGUUUUGAUGAGUUAUUCAAUGUCCUUGAUAUUACUUGUUGACUUGGGCUACAGUGGUAUACUCGUACAAGCAUAUACCAUAAUAUGCCACUUAUAUUAGCUUAGGAGUAUGAAACUUAACAUUUAUUGCAUAUACCAAAUCAUGCCACUUAUACUAGCUCAGAGUAUAAAACUUGACCAUUGUUGAUCAAGCACAUGUGUUCUUGUGUUAUCUAUUUCCAUGUUAAUAGUGAGAAUGUGACUGUGCCGGGCCGAUUGUGAUUGCGAGUUGGUGACCAUCUGGACAGGUUGUGAUUUUGAGCUUGUGACCAUGCUAGACGAGUUAUGAUUGUUGUCACACCUCCUUUUUCACUAACACCCCCGCGAAGGAGCGUAAAGGAAUUUUUCCAAUUAAAGGACAAUUGGAACGAGAUUUGGUUAUUAAUUAUUUCAGAGUCGUCACUUUGGAGAUUAAUGGUGUCCCAAGUCACCGAUUGAAUCCCAAACCGAGUAAAAAGAUGACUCUGUAUUAUAGUCCGGAUAAGGAAUUCUGUUAACCCGGGAGAAGGUGUUAGCCAUUCCUGGGUUCCAUGGUUCUAGCGCGGUCGCUUAACUGUUGUAUUUGAUUUUAUCUGAUUUUAAUACAUGCUAACUUUUGUGCCCUUUUAUUUAUAUACCGCUUUUACCAUUAUUUAUUUUAAAAGACUUAUGAUGUCGCGAAAACGUGUCUUUGGCCACGCCGCCAUCAAGGCACCCGUAAUCAUCGACAUAUUUUGACUUCAUCGAGAUUUGGAUUUGGGUCGCAUCAAUGCUCACCCGAGUUUAGGAAGAUAAAUUUAAUUAAAUCGCGCUUAAAGUUUCUAAGUAAUAUUGUUUGGGAAAACUUUUACCAUUGUUUAUUUUAUAAGACUUGCGACGUCGUGAAAACACGUCUCUGACCACGUCGCCAUCAAGGCACCCGUGGUCGUNNNNNNNNNNNNNNNNNNNNNNNNNNNNNNNNNNNNNNNNNNNNNNNNNNNNNNNNNNNNNNNNNNNNNNNNNNNNNNNNNNNNNNNNNNNNNNGACUUCGUCGAGAUUUGGAUUUGGGUCGCAUCAAUGCGCACCCGAGUUUAAGAAAGUAAUUUAAUUAAAUCGCGCUUAAAGGUUCUAGCGUAAUAUUGCAUUGGGAAAGGCCGUUGAAAUUCGCUAAACGACCCUUCUGAAUUCUAAACAUUUUUAAUAUUCGAUUAUUGAGGGCCCAUCAUUUAUUUUUAUUCGGUGAGGCUCGUCUCUAUUUUUGAACCAAUUUCCGAUCGUUGUUUAUUUGUUUUAUAAGAAUUACGACGUCGUGAAAACGUGUUUCGAACCCCGUCGCCAUCAAGGCACCCGUGGUCGUCAACACAUUUCGACUUCGUCGAGAUUUGGAUUUGGGUUGCAUCAAUGCUCACCGAGUUUAAGAAGGUAAUGUUAUUAAAAUCGCGUCUAAAAAAGUCUAAUGCGCUAUUAUCUUUUGGGAGGAUCGUGAAAUUCGCUAAACAACCCUUCCUGAUUUUCUAAAUAUUUUCAAACAUUUAUUGAGGCCCCGCAUAUGGAUUGAUUUCUCAAUUGUUUUAGUCAUAGAUACGGUUCGACUCAAAUAUAGUGCACAUGAAAAAAAAGUUCUUUGUAAACUCUAAUUCCAAUGGACCAAACCCCACAUAGAUAAUUAAAUAAAAUGACUAUUGAAUUUCGUCAAUACGAAUCAAACAAAUAAAUUCACUGCUUUACAAAUCUGGCUUCCAAAAUUAUAUGUUAGUACUCACGCAUUUAAAAAACGAUUUGAGGAGACCUAAACACAAUAACAUCAUGCAUAUUAUCAAACCAAUCUGAAUUACAAAGUCGGAAUUGAAACAGUACCGUAAGGAGAGCAGUUUGGAAAAAUUCCGGCGCAGGAACAACAGCGAGAUCUUCAAACGCAAAUUUCAAAAACUGAAGUUUCCUUCGAAUUUCUUCGAGUCUCAAAACCAGAAAAUCCGAUUGCUGAACGAAUUUUAUUGAUGAACAAAAUCAACGUAUACAAAACAGGGCAAAACCAACGGACUAUAAACAAACGGAAGCUAUGAGUUAGAAUUUCGACAUCGAAACCUCGCCGGAAACUUCGAACGGAUCUCCUGCAACUCAACCUCAAUCGGACUUCAUUGAAAACCAAAAAUCUUUAUGCGUGUGUGUUCUAUUUGUGCUUAUAGCCACUGUUGCAACUUGUUGCUGUUUGAAAAUUGCCGCCACUCAAUUGUUUUCGAGAUUGUCGAUGGGGGUGGGUGUUCGAACAAGAAGACGUAAAAUGGCUGAAUGUUGUCCGUGACUUUUUGGUAGUUUUUCGUGAAUUUUGCUGGCGUGUUUUUAUUCUUCAAAAGGCUGAAUGCCUUUUCUUUGGUGUGUUUUCUUUAGUAAAUUUUUUUUUGUCCCUUUUUCAUUGGAUAGAGAAUGAUUUUAUAGAGUGUAUAGUAAAGUAUUAUGUGGGAAGAGUUUUAUUUGGGGAAGAUGUUAU